rnacentral:rRNA from 1 species
AGUCACUGACAUUAGAUACCCCGGUAGUCCAGGGUGUAAACGCUGCAGACUUGGUGUUGGAAGCCCUUUGGGGGGCAUUCAGUGCCGGAGAGAAGUUGUUAAGUCUGCUACUUGGGGAGUACGUCCGCAAGGAUGAAACUUAAAGGAAUUGGCGGGGGAGCACCGCAACGGGAGGAGCGUGCGGUUUAAUUGGAUUCAACACCGUAAACUCACCAGGGAAGACUGUUACAUGAAGGCCGAGAUGAAGACUCUGCUAGAUUUUCAG